UCAGUCUUUGCCCACCCCUAGAUCCAAGGGCACAUGAGCCACGUGUUUCUCUUCUUCAGGGUAUCAGCUUCCUUGGAAUGUACAGAGCCCAUGGCAAACCAUUGAUUUCCUUAAACCAUGAUGCUAAUAUGUACAUUUUUCAAAUUUUAUUUAUAUUGUGCAUGUGUGCUACUUGUGUGUGUGCACCAUCCGUGUGCAGGUGCCUGUGAAACCAGAAGAAGGUGCCAAAGCCCCAGGAACUGGAAUGACAGGGAGCUCUGAGCUGCCUAAUAUGGGGGCUGGGAACUGAGCCAUUUUCCAGCGCCUGGUAAGGUGCACCUUUUGGGGCAGGAGAAUGGUUGGCUAAGGGUCUUCUCAGAAGCUUAUUUUCUCCCUGUACACUGCAGCCAGUCAGCAGGGCUACCUCUAAGUCCAGGAGAAACAUCACAGGGGUGCAGCCCCACCCCAGCCCGAGUUCUGCAGUUGCUGCUGACAGCGUCGGCAGUGUCACAAUUAGCAGACACCUUCCUCUUCUAGAGACAGCCAAGGACCGCAGUGGCUGCGCCCUCAGACCCAGCCCUGUGGGAGCAGGGCUCACAGAAACCACGUGUAAAAUGCGCGUCUAAAAAGGAUUGGAUUGGAUGCUGUCAUGUGCUUGUUUGCUUUUUCUUUUGAGACAGGGCCUUACGACAGAGACAGAGUUGGCCUGGAACUCAGCUGUGUAGGCCAGGCGGGCUUCAAACUUGUAACAAUCUGGCCUCAGCCUUCUCCCAGUUUAGGGAAUUACAGGCAUUCAUUACCACACCUUUGGUUUUGUUUUCUGUUUUUAAAUUGUGAUCCUCCAAAUCCAGGAAAACUGCCAGACAGCCUCCCCCAAGCUCCUGGGUCACACUGAGAAUCCCCUGGGCUUCUGCAGCUUCCCAAAGCCUCCUCUGGUGUUUUCCUUCAGUGCUGUGUGACCCUCAGACUGCUGCUUUCCCAGGACCAGGUCUGCUCAAGACUUCCGCAUGACUUGCAAAGGCCACACAGAGAGCAAAAGGAAGGCGCGCUCACAGCAACACCGUGAAUAAUUAUUUGGUGCUAUCAAUCAAGUGUCUCCGUGGUUGGCGCCUCAUGGGAUGGCCUGGAUCCUUCCUGGGACACGUAACACUUGCUCUUUGGGGCCGUUGCGUUCUUUGUUCUGGGCUCUGUUGAUGGGCUCUUCCAGCUGCACACCGGCUUGGGAGAGCAGCAGGCAUCACUGGAGCGUGCACCCUGACCAGGAAGAUGCCUGGAGCCCAGAACACUUCUGAGCUUCAAAGGGAGGACACAGGGACUCGAGAAGUGGCUCGGUUGAUAAAACCUUUGCCAUGUAAGCAUGAGGGCUGGAGUUCGAGAUCCCGCUGUGCGUAUAAAACCCAGGUGGCUGUGGUGGCACCUAUGGGAGAUAGGUACAGCAAACUCCCGAGAGCAAAGCUGAAUCAGGGAACUCCAGAGAGACCCUGCCUCAGUAAAUAAAAAGGGGAACAAUGGAGGAAGACCAUCUACAUCAGCCUGGGCCUCCACACAUAGGAGCACAUGCAUCUCCCAUCCAUGUGAACAUCCUUUUACAUGCAUAUGAACUGCACAUACACAUUGAAGAACAAAGAGACGACGCAGCAGCUCGUCAUGGUAUUUAGCAGAUGGAAAAUCAGCAGACGCAUUUAGAGCAACGUGUAAGCCUCAAAGCCGCCAACCUCCAGUACUAACUAUGCAUGCUGCGCAUCCUACUGCGGGACUGCUGAUGCCCCGAGGAGCCCAGGAAACUGCCCGCUGACAAAGUCAAGUGACGAUCGAGGAAAGAGAACCCAACCCUUGAAGUUUCUCGGCAUGAGCCAGACUUGGUAGAAGAGAGUCUACAGCUGUGAUGACCUCAGAAAGGCACACCCCCACAGAGCACAGUGCUUUACAGUGUGCCCGGCCUCCCUUCUGCACUUUGAGUAGCCCUCUACGGCCAGCAUGUUGUCCCGUCUGAGAGGCUAAACCUUUGCUGCCCAGUCCCUCUGGUGUGGUCUCAGGGAACCUGAACACAUCACCCUUCUGUACCUGCAUCAUGUGACCAAGUUUCUUCCUCCUGGCCCCCAUACACUGCGGAUGCUACCAAGGCUCCAAAGAAGAAGAAGAGCCUUCAACCCAAGCCUGGGGAGUAAGGAUGUGUACCAUUGAUUGAAGUAAACCCUCUAGAGACCUCUGGAGUGUGCUGAACUAGUAAGAGAAAACUCUUACAGUCUGAUCGGAUGGCCUGAAAGGAACAGAGUCCUCCAUGAUGGGUGGAUUGGUUGGGAUCCUUGGAAAUCGACUCUCUCCCCUUUCUCAUUCAAAUUCUUUUUCUCUUUAACUCUUAAGGAUGUUGGAGACUUCACUCAGUGGGAAAGACAAAGGGUUUGGAGGCCAAUGCGAUUGCAUUUGGCUUCUAGCUUUGGUCCCUAAGCAAGUCACCCAGCCUUGCUGUAUCUCUUUAUUUGGAGGUCCUGGGGAUCGAACCUAGAGCUUCACACACUAGACAUGGAGCACAGGCUCACACAGAGUCCCUUAGAGCACUAAGUGACCCCAAAGGUGUUCUGUGAGCCCCUGAGCCAUAAAUCAGCCAUUGACAGUUGCAAAAUAUAGGCUGUCCAUAGAGCUUUAAAGUCAAACUAGAUGUAGGGGCCACCGAGUCCUGCCAAGGAUGGCCUCCCCUACUCCCAGCUUACUUAGUGAUGGUGGAUUCAGAACUGCUUGGUCCUAGUUGGGGGUCUGGUUUGUGGGGACUAGUUGACCCAUGGGCUCAUAGCCACCUUCUUCUCUACUAAGAAUCUCUGCCCGCCUCCCAUUUUCUCCAGGGCAGGGGUAGGGUAUAGAGCCACUGAGGUUGGGAGCUGGUCCACCCUUCCUCCCAACCCACCUCAGCAACUGGCUCCCUGUGAAACCAGCGGCUCUAUGCUGGGACAUGACAAAUGACCAAAAAAAUCAAUUUGUAAUCUGAUUGGAGGUUUUUGAUUUCCUCUGAUGAGUUUAAAUUUCAUUAAAAGCAACCUUAUUCCAACAUAAAAAGAAUCCUUGAAGGGUAAAACAGGGGAUUGUCUCACCCGGUAUAAAGCA